rnacentral:rRNA from 1 species
AGAGUUUGAUCCUGGCUCAGGACGAACGCUGGCGGCGCGCCUAACACAUGCAAGUCGAACGAGAGAGAAGGAGCUUGCUUCUUCGAUCGAGUGGCGAACGGGUGAGUAACGCGUGAGGAACCUGCAUCAAAGAGGGGGACAACAGUUGGAAACGACUGCUAAUACCGCAUAAGCCCACGGGUCGGCAUCGACCAGAGGGAAAAGGAGUAAUCCGCUUUGAGAUGGCCUCGCGUCCGAUUAGCUAGUUGGUGAGGUAACGGCCCGCCAAGGCGACGAUCGGUAGCCGGACUGAGAGGUUGAACGGCCACAUUGGGACUGAGACACGGCCCAGACUCCUACGGGAGGCAGCAGUGGGGAAUAUUGCACAAUGGGGGAAACCCUGAUGCAGCGACGCCGCGUGGAGGAAGAAGGUCUUCGGAUUGUAAACUCCUGUUGUUGAGGAAGAUAAUGACGGUACUCAACAAGGAAGUGACGGCUAACUACGUGCCAGCAGCCGCGGUAAAACGUAGGUCACAAGCGUUGUCCGGAAUUACUGGGUGUAAAGGGAGCGCAGGCGGGAAGACAAGUUGGAAGUGAAAUCCAUGGGCUCAACCCAUGAACUGCUUUCAAAACUGUUUUUCUUGAGUAGUGCAGAGGUAGGCGGAAUUCCCGGUGUAGCGGUGGAAUGCGUAGAUAUCGGGAGGAACACAGUGGCGAAGGCGGCUACUGGGCACCAACUGACGCUGAGGCUCGAAAGUGUGGGUAGCAACAGGAUUAGAUACCCUGGUAGUCCACACCGUAACGAUGAUUACUAGGUGUUGGAGGAUUGACCCCUUCAGUGCCGCAGUUAACACAAUAAGUAAUCCACCUGGGGAGUACGACCGCAAGGUUGAAACUCAAAGGAAUUGACGGGGGCCCGCACAAGCAGUGGAGUAUGUGGUUUAAUUCGACACAACGCGAAGAACCUUACCAAGUCUUGACAUCCUGCGACGAUGCUAGAAAUAGUAUUUUCCUUCGGGACGCAGAGACAGGUGGUGCAUGGUUGUCGUCAGCUCGUGUCGUGAGAUGUUGGGUUAAGUCCCGCAACGAGCGCAACCCUUAUGGUCAGUUACUACGCAAGAGGACUCUGGCCAGACUGCCGUUGACAAAACGGAGGAAGGUGGGGAUGACGUCAAAUCAUCAUGCCCUUUAUGACUUGGGCUACACACGUACUACAAUGGCGUUAAACAAAGAGAAGCAAGACCGCGAGGUGGAGCAAAACUCAGAAACAACGUCCCAGUUCGGACUGCAGGCUGCAACUCGCCUGCACGAAGUCGGAAUUGCUAGUAAUCGUGGAUCAGCAUGCCACGGUGAAUACGUUCNCCGGGCCCUUGUACACACCGCCCGUNNC